rnacentral:rRNA from 1 species
UAGGGAAUCUUCUACAAAUGGGCGAAAGCCUGAUGGUGCAACGCCGCGUGUGUGAUGAAGGGUUUCGGCUCGUAAAACACUGUUGUAAGAGAAGAAUGACAUUGAGAGUAACUGUUCAAUGUGUGACGGUAUCUUACCAGAAAGGAACGGCUAAAUACGUGCCAC